rnacentral:rRNA from 1 species
CCUACGGGAGGCAGCAGUGGGGAAUAUUGCGCAAUGGGCGAAAGCCUGACGCAGCGACGCCGCGUGAGGGAUGAAGGUCUUCGGAUCGUAAACCUCUGUCAGCAGGGAAGAACGGUCACUGUGCUAAUCAGCAGUGAAUUGACGGUACCUGCAAAGGAAGCACCGGCUAACUCCGUGCCAGCAGCCGCGGUAAUACGGAGGGUGCGAGCGUUAAUCGGAAUUACUGGGCGUAAAGCGCUCGUAGGCGGUAUGUCAAGUCAAGGGUGAAAUCCCCGCGCUCAACGUGGGAACUGCCUUUGAAACUGGCAAACUGGAGUGUGUGAGAGGAUAGUGGAAUUCCAGGUGUAGGAGUGAAAGCCGAAGAUAUCUGGAGGAACAUAAGUGGCGAAGGCGACUAUCUGGCACAUAACUGACGCUGAGGAGCGAAAGCGUGGGUAGCAAACAGGAUUAGAUACCCUUGUAGUC